GACUGAAGCCUGUUAUGAUGACUUCAACACAUUUCUUCUGACAGGUUGGCAGAAGAAAUGCUGUCCAGAAUGUUUCUUUAAGCUGACUAAUUUUUAUUAUGCCUAAUGUCUGAGUUGUGUUCAUGGUAAUUAUUUCUGACAUUUUUAUGCUUUAUGUUGUAGGUGGUGAAAAAUGCUCUACCGGGUAAACCGGGUGGACAAAGUAUUUUGGCUGGGAAAACCAGGCAUUCUUCUGUUGGUUCAUGUGCUUUGUCCUACAUCCAAAGGCCACAAGAAGAAUCCAAAACGGCUCAUGUGAAACUUGGACCAUGUUUUCAGAUAUGUGCAGAUGCAAGCCAGUGUUGAAGCCUUCCUCAUUGCCGUGCAACCAGGACAGCCCUUCCUCCUGCAUGUUGGUGAAAACAAGAGCAGCACCAAAGACACUUC